UGCGUAGGCGGUUUCAUAAGCUUGAUGUGAAAUCCCCGGGCUUAACCUGGGAAUGGCAUUGAGGACUGUGGAGCUGGAGUGCGGCAGAGGGUGGUGGAAUUCCACGUGUAGCAGUGAAAUGCGUAGAGAUGUGGAGGAACACCGAUGGCGAAGGCAGCCUCCUGGGCCGACACUGACGCUGAGGGCACGAAAGCGUGGGGAGCAAAACA
rnacentral:rRNA from 1 species